rnacentral:rRNA from 1 species
AACGCUGGCGGCGGCUUAACACAUGCAAGUCGAGCGCCCCGCAAGGGGAGCGGCAGACGGGAGAGUAACACGUGGGAACGUACCCUUUGGUUCGGAACAACCCAGGGAAACUUGGGCUAAUACCGGAUAAGUCCGAAAGGAGAAAGAUUUAUCGCCGAAGGAUCGGCCCGCGUCUGAUUAGCUUGUUGGUGAGGUAACGGCUCACCAAGGCGACGAUCAGUAGCUGGUCUGAGAGGAUGAUCAGCCUCACUGGGACUGAGACACGGCCCAGACUCCUACGGGAGGCAGCAGUGGGGAAUAUUGGACAAUGGGCGCAAGCCUGAUCCAGCCAUGCCGCGUGGGUGAUGAAGGCCCUAGGGUUGUAAAGCCCUUUCGGCGGGGAAGAUAAUGACGGUACCCGCAGAAGAAGCCCCGGCUAACUUCGUGCCAGCAGCCGCGGUAAUACGAAGGGGGCUAGCGUUGCUCGGAAUCACUGGGCGUAAAGCGCACGUAGGCGGCUUUUUAAGUCAGGGGUGAAAUCCUGGAGCUCAACUCCAGAACUGCCUUUGAUACUGGG